UACGAGCGGCCCAAACGUUAUUCGGAAUUACUGGGCUUAAAGAGUUCGUAGGCGGCAUUGCAAGUAGGGUGUGAAAGCCCUCGGCUCAACCGAGGAAUUGCGCUCUAAACUGCAGUGCUCGAGGAACCUAGAGGUGAGCAGAACAGAUGGUGGAGCGGUGAAAUGCGUUGAUAUCGAGAGGAACACCUGCGGCGAAGGCGGGUUGCUGGGCUGACACUGACGCUGAUGUGCGAAAGCUAGGGGAGCGAACGGG
rnacentral:rRNA from 1 species